CUAAACAUUUUCUUUAUAUUUCUUUUCAGCUGCUUGUCCCCAAAUGAGCUGUCUGCUGUGAGUUACAACCUCACUUGCUCUCAUAUUGUUCAAUCUCUGGCACUACAAAUUUCAGCAACAUUGCUGGCAACAACGGGUGAAAAUCUGUCAUAUCCCUCUCCUCUGCUAUCUCCUUGUAUCCAGGGCCAAAACAAAGUCAUGCUUCCCAAAGAAGACAACCUAGCAUCAAUGAAGGUCAGUCCUCAUAAAUAAAUGACAAAACAUGUAUUGGACAUGCAGUUUUUUAUUAUUUUUUGUCUAGUAAUUUAGCCUUCAUUAUUUGAAUUUGAUUACUAAUUUUUUGUUCUUAAUAUGCUUUUUUGUCAAGUGUAGUUCCAUUUUGUUUGAAAAA